AAAGGUUUAGUAACUAUGAUUAUACUUAUAAGACUAAGUGUAAUUCUGAAUUGAUUGAAAAAGUUUAAAUCAAUAGCAAAACGAAUAAGAAAAAUCAUGUGGGCAGAAAGAUAAAAGUUUCUCUAUUCUAAGAAGAAGGGAGAGUACCUUUUAUGCUUUAUGAUAGGUCUAAAUGAUUAAGAACCAUAUCUCAAUUAAUCCUCUAAAUGAUUCUUUGUGCAAUUGUAUGUCUAAGAAAAAGAGGAAUCGGGAAUUGAAGAAAUGGUUAAAUCAAGAAGUCAAUCAUACUUUGUUCCAAAACCAAAUCUUAGAGUUAAGAUUGUGACAUUGAGUGAAAAGUCUCAAGAAGUUUUAUAACAUUCAUCAAGUGUAUAAUUUGAAAAAAAGGAUUUUCUUAUUUUCGUACAUUUGAAGUUGGAAAGUUGUGAUGUCUUGGAUAAGACAAAGACCAACUAUGACCAAUUUUAUAUGGUGUUUUGUCUUGAUAAAAGAUACACUAACUCUUGAAUAUUUGUUUGUCUAGAAAUGUUUAUUAACAAGAGAAUCUAAUAUUUCAAGGAGUCAGUGGGAGUCUUAAUGGUCUUGAAAGCUUUCAAGAACAAAUGAAGAAUAAACCUUAUCGAUCAUCACUAGCACACGACUCGUGGUUUACAACCUAUCGUGAUGACAUCAUCUUGUUUUCUGUACCGUUCCAAUUGAGUUAAUUAUGCAUGUGAGCCCUAUGAGUUCUCAUUCGAAUGCAUAAGAGGCAAGGACCUUGAUCAAUGAAAAGUACAUUGAUGGGAAAGGGUGAGCUGCUUAACUACUUGGAAGACAUGGUGGGUAGCCGUGUUACCAUAAGGGAAGAAAUCAAGAUUGAGAAGGCUCGGUCCAUAUGAGUUUGAAUUUGUCAUAAACUUUCAUUUUAACAAAUUCACAUGGAUAGGAACACAUACACCAUUAAAAUCGAAGUGUCAUAAGAUUUCCUCCUUCAUUAAAAUGAAUGUGAGAAAAUGCUUUCACUAAGAAAGAUUUUAAGAAGAUUGUGAAAUUGUAUUCUCAUAUUCGAUUAUGGUUACGGUAUCCCUUUCCAUGAUUCAAAUUGUGAGAUUUGGCAAUUAGUCUGAAUUGUUUAAGACACACAUAUGAGCUAUAUAAUGCAAAGGUGUAUAAGUUUAAGAAGCCUUGAUAAAAGAUUAUCAAAGCAUUGAGUACUAGAAAUAUGAACUUAAAGAAAUUCAAUAGGCUUUGUUUUUCUGAAAGUUAAGUUGUUUCUGAAUACGUGUCAAAGCUAGCGGGAGCAUAAGUCUUAUGUUUAUAAUAAGCAUCAUAAUAGUGGGAGCGUAAAUGAUAUGAUUGCAUGAUUAUUAAGGCAAGUAUUGCAAGUUAGCAAUAUUAAUUAUAGAAAACAAGAGUCAUACUUUGCAAAGUAGUAAGGAUCGAAUAGUUGUUUUGCUAUAAGUAAGGGAGAGAAUAUUAUGCUUCAUUUCAAAUCUAAAGGCUUAGGUUGUGGAAUGUUAAUAAAUUUAGUCAAGGAUACAUAGUGAGUUCUUAAAUUUCGAUUAUGAUUAUGGCAUUCCUCUUCAUAGUUCGAAUUGUAAGAACGUAGCACAUAAAAUAUUAUGGCAGAAGAUUGAUAAAGUAUCAAAUCUUUAUGUAAGACAUUAUGCAUCAUGUCCCAUACGCUUCGAGUAUAGGAUUGAUUGCAAAAAUGCUAUAAUAUUUGACCAUUCUAAAAUUUUCCAAAUUUCUAGCGCAUUUAGAGGGAAAAGGACAAGAAUCGGUUUUGACUAAGAUAUUUAAACAACUAUCAAAGGACAAUCCAAAGUUCGCCAAAGAUUGGUCUCUUGUGAGUAGUUGGGAGUAUAGUAUUGAAUGGACCAUAUCGACAUAAUUAUGAAUAGAUAAGAUUCUAUUAAGAAUGAGUUGUCAUAUGGAAAAUAUGGAAAUGUUUCCAUAUUGGGAGUUGGACAUUAAGAAUCUAUGACUAGAUUAGAAACUUUUAUGCAAAAAGAUGUUCAAAGGAAUGUACUUUGAGUGAGAGAUAUCACAUCUAAAGAAUUGUAUUGUAACAAUCUUCGAUAGAGGACUUUGUAAUAUCAUUGGCAAUAGUCAUUGUGACUUUUGUGCUAUGACAUUACGAAAGGAUCAUUGCAUAAAAUGUUCGAAUCUAGCAUAUUCUAUAAAUGGCAAGAAUUUGAUAUUCUUUCAAUUGUGAUAAGGAUUGGGAGUUGUGAAAUGAGUAUGAUUGGAAAGGUGUUCAUUUGAUCUAUUUCACAAAGUAAGGACUAUAGGUUAGCAUUGUGUGCAUGCUAAGAGCAUGGGACAAGUGUGGUAAGUAAUUCAAGUAAGAAUUUGAUUACCCGAAACGACAAAUUAUGAGUAAUCGAUAUGGUGAUAAAUAAAAGGUGUUUUAUUUAUACUCAAAGGUUGAGGCCAUAUGGGAUUAGUAUUAUUCUUGUGUUUCACUUUGCGUGUUUUGACUUCUUGAAUAAUUUAAUUGGUUAAGAACAGUCAAAUUAUUCGAACGGGCCACAGUUGUUCAUAUGUUGGAAGUAGGUAUGAAUGAAGACUGUCGUGAAUUGGUGUGUGGAUUGUCUAAAUAGUAUUAGACAUAAGCAAAUGUUUGCUGCAGUGUUCAUGAGUGCUUAUGAAUAUGAUUUGAGCAUUGGAUUAAACCCACGUUCACUUGGAUCACUUCAUGGUUAUUAUCACGAGUGAUUGGUGAGACGAUAAUAUCUUAUAUUCUUGAAACCGAGAUGUGUGAGUUGUAUCUUGCGAGUCGGUUGCACAUUGAUAAUAUGUAAACGCACCAGUAACUUGGAUUUAUAAAACAUAUUGUUGUGUGUGAUUUGGUGAGUGAGUGCAAGCGAGCAUUGAGUCAAAGUUUAUCCAUUCCUUUUAUCCAAAGUAGGAUAAAAUCGAUAUUUGUGGGCCCCUCGAUGAUUUAAUGAUGGAACCUAAGUGCUUGGCAAAGCUGGGACUAAUUUGAUGUGUUCAAAUUGUAGUCUGUUGUCAGUCGUGAUAAAUUAGAAUUCGGGAAACAGCACAUAGACAGAGAGAAUGAUUUAGAUCCAUGUCUCAGUCUAUAUGAUAUCUAGAAUGGAGGAAUAUAUGAUCCCUUAUCUAAAGCACACGCGUAUCUGAUAAGAUCAGAGUUGACAGCGGCUUUAGAAAGCUACGAUUGCAGAUCAGGAUCUGAAGUAAUAUGCAGAAUAGUUAUUAGACUUAUCCAAGUGGGAGACUGUUGGAUUAGUGUCUAAGUCCAUAACUAUUUUGGUAUGUACUUGACCCGAUGGUGCAUGGUCCUUUUGGGUUGCCUUCACCAAAGCAACUUGAUAGGAUGAAUUAUGGAGAGAAAGGAUUAAAUAUGAUUUAUUAAUAUAUUAUGAGAAUAAUAUAUUAAAGGAGAAAUCAUAUUGUUUAAUUAAUAUUAGUCAAGAAUUAAUAAGAAUUAAGUUUGUGGCUAAAAGACAUUAAUUAAACUUAAGGGACUAGAACUGUCAAUUGUGUGAUAGUUGAAUAUUGAGCUAAUGGACUCCAUAUUAAAGGGGUGGAUGAAUUCUAUGGGGAAAACCAUUAGAAAUUGUCCAAAGGCCUUUAAGAAAGGAGUUCAUGGGUUGCUUAGGGCCUAAGCAUCCAAAUUAGGGCUUCCUUGUUAGAUAACCCUAAUAGCCUCACUAUUUAAGGAACCCUUAAGCCCAAAAAACGUGGUGAACUUGUUGAUUAGGGUUUCCACACGUUUUGGGGAGCCUCCUCUCUCCUUAUUCUUCAUCCUCUUGCUCUUGGUGUUUGUGAGCCAUUAGAGGAGUGACAUUUGUGACUGUAAGCUUUCUAAAGUCAUUACAAGGAGGAUUUGAGAUUGUUAUUGCUACAUAACAAUCAAGGUAAUAUCUUAAACCCAUUAUUAUGUGAAUAUUGAUUAUCAUAUGCUAGAUCUAGGGUGUAAAGUCUUGGAUGAAUUGCAUGUACAAUAGAGAAACCUAGAUCCAAGCAUUAGGGUUUGUAUGAGCACAUAGGAUGUUCUUAUAGUUAAAACCCAUCAAUAUUCGGAUCCACGAAUCCCAGCCUAAGAGUUGAAUUCAGGAAGUUGAUGGAAACUAAAUUUGAGAUGAACUCAAUGGUUCCGAUUAAUUUUUUUCUUGGCUUGAAUAUUAGACAGGGAACCGAAGGCAUUUUUAUCAAUCUGGAGGCGUACACAAAGACAUUACUUACCAAGUUUGGGAUGUUGGGCGACUCAAAGGUGAAGGUUCCUAUGGUGUUUGGCACCAAGCUGACUCCAUCAUUGGAGAAACUGCCUAUUGACAUGACACUUUAUCGUCAGAUGAUUGGGUCACUGAUGUAUCUUACAGAUAGCAUGUAACAUCCCAAAAUUCAAGGCCAAAAAUUUCAUUUUUAAUUAAGUUAUUACAUAAAACCCAAGUGUCAAUAAUCAAAGCAUUUUAUCAUAAAACCAUAUCAGAGUGUAAUCCCAAAGAUCUCAUGUGUGGGAAACAUAGUGUGAUGCGCUGCGAUCGAGCCGACUCCUUUCCUUUGAAAACAAAGCACCUGAAACCAAAAUUGUAAAUCGUAAGCACGAAGCUUAGUGAGUUCCCCCAUAAUACCACAUACCACAUAAUACCAUUGGUAUCUUUCACCCAGUACCCGGGGACUAUAUCUCCCCUACCACCAUCACAUAAUAAUAUAUCAUAAACAUACUGAUCACAUACUAACAUCAUAACAUACUGAUCACAUACUAACAUCAUAACAUAUCGAUCACAUACUAACAUCAUAACAUAAUUAUCACAUACCAACAUAUCAUAAACAAACAGAAAAGCAUUGCAUGGGUUCUGUAUACCCCUUCAGUAUCUUUCAACCGGUAUCCGUCAUCGGUAUCUUUCAACUAGUAUCCGUCAUCGGUAUCUUUCAACUGGUGACCGCCAUCGGUCUCUUUCAACCGGUAAUCGGGGACUAUUUCACCCCUACCACUAUCACAUAAUGUCAUAUUGGUUCCAUGAUAACAUAACAUAAACAUACUAAAUCACAUAAUGGCAUAUCAUAACCAUAUUGGUCACUUAAUAGUAUAUCAUACAUGGGUUUUGUCUACCUCUUCGGUAUCUUUCAACCGGUAACUGCCGUCGGUAUCCUUCAACCGGUAACCGGGGACUAUUUCAACCCCUACCACUAUCGCAUAAUAACAUAUCAUGAUCAUACUGCUAGGAAUGCAUGGGUACUAUCUACCCCUUCGGUAUCUUUCAACCGAUAACUAUGGGCUAUAUCCCCCCUACCACUACUAACUCAUAUGUCAUAGCAUCCUAGCACCAAAAGCAUAUCAUAUAACAACACACCAGGUAAUUAUCACAAAGACAAUCAUCUAAAAAAUAACUCCUAUUAGUGGGUCGGCAUUGUGGUCGUAGACCCAUUCCUACUGGAAGGUAACUCACCUCGCACUGCUGUAGUCCCGUAGACUCAACCCCACACUGCCGAAGUCCUGCAGACUCGACCCCAGCUGUUGGAUGACAGAUUCCCGAUCUGUCAAUAUCAAAACAUCACCCAAUUAAUAAUUGGGUCCCAACACAUAACCAAUAGUACAUUCUUUGGAUAAUUACUACAUUACCCCCAAGCUUGGCUCAUUCAAGCCCAAGGCCCAAUCUAUAGGCCCAAAAGUCCAACUAUGGCUCAAAGCCCAAUAUAUGGCCCAAGUUUCCAAAUUGGGCCCAACCUUUACAUGGUCUCAUUCUAAGGCCCAACAUCAUAUAAUCAUUAAGGCCCAAACUAUGGCCCAUCUAUGGCCCAAUUUUCCAAAUUAGGCCCAAACCCCUUACAUGGGCCUUACCCUAGGCCCAUUAAAUAUUCUAGUCCAUUUGCUUGACUUUGGAUGGCCCAUUAAUAACGCACACAUCAAGGCCCAAAAAUACACCCAUGUGAAAUUAGGGUUUCACAUAAAAUGACGAUUAGGGUUAAGUGUUUUUCGCUUAACCCAUUAAGGACUUAAUCCGUUAAAUCCAUCAUUCUUCUAAAUAAGUCAUAUGGUGUGAUUGGGCUUAAUCACACAAUUCCAUUAUUCCAAUGGCCCACAAGUGGGUCUCAAUAAGUUUAAGCCCAUAAAUCCAAUGUUAGGGUUUUCAAUCCCAUCUUAUCCCAAUAGGCCCAUUAGUUAAGUCCUUGGAUCCAUUAGGGUCCAUUAAGCCCAUUAGACACAUGUUUGGGAUUUUAUGCCCAUUAAGCCUCAUUGGGCCCAUUAGUGUUUCAGUCCCAUGACCAAAAACCCUUGCUCGGAAAACAAACCCAACACCCACCUACAGUGGGUGGCGACGACGGCAGCACAAGAAAUGGGCGGCAGCAGCAGCCAUUCAUGGCAACAACAUCGUCGUCUGCAUCAGCCACCUUGGUAGGCGGCCAUGGUGGUUCUUCAUGAGAUCCAGCCGACAGAAAGUCACACACACCCAUGCAACUACAUCACAACCCACGAUCCAGCCUCCGUUUCAUGGUAGUGACGACCCAAAAAUGCUUUCAAGAAGACAGGAGGGGGAGAAUGGCGACGGCGGAGCUGUGGAACGCACAACGGCGCCAACAGGCGGCGGUUAGCGGCGGUGACGCAUCCCAGCGACGAUCGACUUGGAAGAAAAAGUGGUAAGCGAUUCAGAAUCAACAAUAGCAUUUAUGGUCUCGGUCUUCAAGCAUGUCGUCACCGGCAACAAAGCCACGAUGGCUUCUUUGAUCGUGAGGAAGCAGGCGGCGUCAUUCGAGACUCCAUCUGAUCAGCGACGGCGGCUGAGGAGCAUCGGAAGGAGGUGGCGCCGGAGAUGGGAGAUAUAAGGGUGAGGGGGUCACGGCUAUAAUAUCAUUUAGGGUUAGGGUUCCUUAAACAAUAUGUACCCGAAGCCUUUCCAAAGUUGCUGCCAUAAUGGCAGAAAUGGCCACUCUCCAGAAUUAAAUUUUAAAAUUAAAUCUCAUGUUUUACCCUUUAAACCCUUAGCAUUAAAUCCUUAACAAUUGAGGUCUAGUUUCUACUAGAAUAGCCCCUCCCCUACAAACUAUUUUCAAAAGAAGUCCCAAUAAUCACCAAGUAUUCCCUGCCCUAAUAAUUCUUUACGAAACCCAUCCGAAACAUACACUUUUAACCCUUGACUUCUCAAAUAUUUACAAUUAGUUCCUCGAAAUUACACCUUGCAUAAUUAUUAUUGAUUUUAGGGCUAUAUUACGAUCAUUAAUUCAUUUAUUUAUUAUAAAAAAAAAAAAAAAACAAACAGUGUGUUACAACUCUGCCCCACUUAAAUUCGAUUUCGUCCUCGAAAUUAUUCCUUACCAUUACUUGCUCACCCAACCACUCUAGUAGCAUGGUCACCAAUCUGGGCACGCCCUAGCCUUCCCAGGGUAGCCAUGACCAAUCCUCGUAAAGCCCUAAAAUUUGUAGGUGUCGAAUUCCUUGCAACAAGACCACAUGUACUCUUGUUUGAAAUCUGUCGUCUCGAGAUAGUCUGAAUCCCUGAUAAAUCACUCAUACUAAAUCAUUAUCGUUGAAUCUAGUCUGUUUGUCCCUCAACUGACUACUCAACUUCUGAUAACAUGUGGUUCCCACUAUAAAACAGGGUCACUGACCCAAUUAUCCUUACAGACCACUAAUACUUGGCCAAGGCUCGGAUACUCUCGUUGUGAGUGACUUGUCACUUCCCAAUCAGCCAACUAUUAUGUCCGUACCAGCAACCUGAAACACAAAUACUAAUACUGCCCAGACACAGAAACUGCCUGAACACUGAACUGCCUGAAGCAGUAUGUUGCCACACGGUUGCUUCCCAAAAGCUACCGAUACCUUUCUGGUCUCAAUUCAUCCAUCAGUCAUCUGCAAUGUCGGGUUUCUGGCCGGCUGUGGAGCCAAAUGACUCCCACUUAGUCGUCUCACGCGACUCCUGAACGAAAUCCUUCCCUCGAACUAGUUGUCACUAGUUAUCCUACCACUAUGGCUCUAACAGCCUCCCGAUCCAACCGAUCUGGUCCAAGUGUCGAAUCCUGUCAUCAUCAAAUCCAAGACUAAAAGUGAUUGCCACCUAACCAUUAGUAGCCUAUUGUCACAACGACCUUAAGCAAUCCAUUGCUUCACUGGCUCAACCAGAGCUAAUCCAUCUGGGUAAAUCCGAAAGUCAAUCAGUGGAUUUCCAUAUCCUCACUGCUGCACCAGAACUGGUGGGUACUACUGUUCCUUCCGCGUUCUAAAAACACGCUCAUGCCAUCUACCAACCUAGUGAAUGCUAUGGCUACACCCGCAGUCUCACGACACUCUAUCACUAUCUGACCACUAGUGAAUGCUACGACUACCCCCUUAGUCUUACAACACUUCCCAUGCUAACUAACCAUUGGUGAAUGCUACAGGUACCCCCGCAAUCUUACAACACUUCCCAUACUAACUGAUUGCUAGCAAAUGCUAUGGCUACCCCCGUAGUCUUACAACACCUUCCAUACCACCGGAUCGCUAGUGAAUGCUACGUCUACCUCCGUAGUCUUACAACACUUUUCAUACUACUUGAUCGUUAGUGAAUGCUACGGCUACCCUCGCAGUCUUACAACACUUUCCAAACCGGGUCGAACACAUACUCGACCUAACCCUCUACUGAAAUUGAGUGCUAACCAGAACUCUAACCUGGUUCCCGAAACCUGCUAUCAUGUGACCCCACUGUAUCAAUACCGCACCCAUUCCCGUGAUCAAAGCGUCACAGUAAACCACAAAAUCAUCUACACCAUCUGGCAGGGUGAGAACUGGUGCCUCACACAACCGCCGUCUGAGAGCCUCGAAGGCUGCUUGCUGUCCAGGCCCCAAGCGAAGGCCCACUGACUUCUUAGUCAUUCGUGUCAAAGGACCCAUAAUCUCGGAGAAGUCCCGUAAAAAUCUCCGGUAAUAACCCACUAUACCCAGGAAACUCCGAAUCUCAGAUGGAGACCUCAGAAUCUCCCACUAUAUCAUUGCCUCUAUCUUGGCCAGAUCAACAAGAAUGCCCUUCUGGUUGACAAGGUGCUCAAGAGAUUGCACCCUGCUCAACCAGAACUCACAGUUGGAGAACUUUAUAAAAAUUCUCUCCCCCACUUAGACUCGACUAAGUCUUCACAUUACAUGAGAUUAAAGGAUUCCUAAUCCUCCUCGCUUUCUAAUAUCCUACUGAUGACAACCUGUGCCUGCCCAUGCUAGCAUUUAAUCACCGAUUAAACCUUGAGAUCUCCUAUCCUUGAAAAUCUCGAUGAGUACUCUUGAAAUAUGAUCCCCUUCUGCUGACAUGAGCAACCCUGCUACGAUGUAGCAGCCCAAACCCUUGGAGUGACAAACUCCCUCGUGUACCUCAUCGUACGUGCUGCACUGACUCAGGCCCUGCUGGCCUUUCACCCGAUGAUCAAAAGUCAUGGGUCUCUUCCUGGGACCUUCUACUAUAUGCACCUGGCACGCACCUCUCUUUCCAUGGUGCUCCCAAAUCAAUCCCGCAUCUGCAACUCUUGGAAAUCAUAUCCUUCAGGGUCUGACACCCUGUCCCGCUCACUAGCUCGCUUACCAAUGGCUAAGCUGCAACAACUAGAACAUCCUUUGUCCCCACACUGGGUCAUAAACUCAUCCCUGAAGCUUCUUAGAUUCUCCAAGACUCUCACUGAUUCGAGUAUAUCCUGUGCUUUCAAUAGUACGGGCCCAAUACUACCUUCCACACCCAUCCAUACUUUCCUCAGCAAUCCUCCCGAAUCCUCCAAGUCACUUCCUCAACUGGUACGCCCAAGUCUCACUGAACCUCACUACUAACCCACUGAGCAUAUCCUAGGCUUUCCUAGGUUCCCGUACUCACCCAGUCCUUAGCUGCUAAAGAACUUCCCACUAAUGUCAACUAGCUACCUCAUGAAUAUAGCCAUUCGCGACUUAGGAUAUUCACUUAGUAGCCAGCUCACAUUACUAAGAUUCCCUCAAAGCACCAAGCAAACAACAUUCAGACAAUGGAAAAUCUCACCUACAUAUUCCAAUCAGAUUAGUCUAUCCUCUUGUUAGGGAUCUAUACUAGCAUGCGAUUCUAAGGCUCACACAAUCAGGCAUACCCUAAACAAUCUAUCCUAUCACUAACUGAUUACUACUAUCAUGCAGCUCAGCAAGCACAUACAGAAGGCAUAUAAGGCAUCUUCCUAGAUCCUUAGCCCUAAUCUAGCAUGCAGUUCUCAUAAUCAUAUCAUAUCAUAAAACAACAUGUAUGGGUAUCUUGGGGAAAACAUACUUGAGCUCGGCUGAUUGCACGCAUCACACACCUUGUUCUUUCCAAAGUUCUUUUCUCCGUCCAAAUUCUUUUCAAAUUCUUUUUAUAAAAUGAUUUUCUUUUGACAAAUUUCACACCAAGCCCUCAGUUUGAGUCCAGACACACCCGAGAGUGUGCCUGAAUCCCUCAAACCAAGGUUCUGAUACCAACUUGUAACAUCCCAAAAUUCAGGGCCAAAAAUUUCAUUUUUAAUUAAGUUAUUACAUAAAACCCAAGUGUCAAUAAUCAAAGCAUUUUAUCAUAUUACCAUAUUAGAGUGUAAUCCCAAAGAUCUCAUGUGCGGGAAACAUAGUGUGAUGCGCUGCGAUCGAGCCGACUCCUUUCCUUUGAAAACAAAGCACCUGAAACCAAAACUGUAAACCGUAAGCACGAAUCUUAGUGAGUUCCCCCAACAUACCACAUACCACAUAAUACCAUCGGUAUCUUUCAACUGGUAAUCGGGGACUAUAUCGCCCUACCACCAUCACAUAAUAAUAUAUCAUAAACAUACUGAUCACAUACUAAUAUCAUAACAUACUGAUCACAUACUAACAUCAUAAAAUAUCGAUCACAUACUAACAUCAUAACAUAAUGAUCACAUACCAACAUAUCAUCAACAAACAGAGAAGCAUUGCAUGGGUUCUGUAUACCCCUUCGGUAUCUUUCAACUGGUAUCCGUCAUCGGUAUCUUUCAACCGGUUUCCGCCAUCGGUAUCUUUCAACUGGUAACCGCCAUCGGUAUCUUUCAACUAGUAAUCGGGGACUAUCUCACGCCCUACCACUAUCACAUAAUAUCAUACUGGUUCCAUGAUAACAUAACAUAAACAUAUUGAAUCACAUAAUGGCAUAUCAUAACUAUACUGGUCACUUAAUAGUAUAUCAUACAUGGGUUCUGUCUGCCUCUUCGGUAUCUUUCAACCGAUAACUGCCUUCGGUAUCUUUCAACUGGUAACCGGGGAUUAUUUCACCCCCUACCACUAUCACAUAAUUGUUGGAAUAGUGUCUAAGGUUGAAACAAUAUUUGGCAAGUAUUUGACCCAGUUGUGCAUGGUCCUUUUGGGUUCCCUUCACCAUAGCAACUUGACAGGAUGAUUUAUAAUGAGAGAAGAAAUAUUAUUUAUAUAUUAUGAGUAUAAUAUAAGGAAUAAUAAUAUUGUUAUUUGAUUAAUAUAAGUCAUAAAUUAAUUAGGAAUUAAUUUGGUGACUUAAAGAGAUUAAUUGAAUAAAGGGGCAUACACUGUCAAUUGUAUGAUAGUUGUAUUUUGAGCUGCGAUCUCUUAUGGAUAAGGGGUGGACGAUUUUAGGGUUUGGAAGAGCCUAGAACUUGUCCAAGGCUUAUCAUUAAGGAUAUUGGAUUGCUUAGGGCCUAAGUUAUCCAAUUAGGGUUUUAAGGGUGAAACCCUAGGAAGCUCAUUAGUAUAAAUACACCCAUAGGGCUGAGGAAAUCGGCACACUUGCAUUUGUAGAAACCCUGGCCAAUUUCUCACCCUUCUCUCUCUCUGUCACUUAUCAUCCCCUUGCUAGUUGGUGUUUGUAAUCCAUUAGAGGAGUGACAAUUGUGACUCUAAGCUCAAAGGACAAGAUGAUUCAAGCAAGCAACUCAAGGUAAUCCUCUAGAUCUGUUUUCAUAUGUUAUGAUUUGAAUGUUUUCAUUAGAUCUAUCAAUCAAAGGCUUGGAUACAUCGCAUGUUCAAUUAGAUAAACCUAGAUCCAAGCAUUAGGGUUUGUAUGUGCACUUCGGAAAGUUCUUAUGGCUCAAACCCAUCAGUGGUAUCAGAGCCUUGUUUGGUUUCUAUUGAAUUGAUGCAUUGGUUGCUUGAUUGUUGAUUGCAAAAUCGUUUUUUUCUUCUGCCUGAUGAACUCGGCAAGUACCACAGUGUACUCGGCGAUUAGGCCUCAACUCGGCGAGUCCAUUGUGGUACUCGGCGAGUUUGAGCGUCAGAAGGAGCUAGUUUCGGGAUUUCUUGUUGUUUAUCUUAUGGAAACUUGCCUUUAUCUUAAUGGGUCAAUAUAAAUCCGAUUUUAACAUAUAUUUAAGUAUAUCCUUAACCUAACUCAAGAUAUCUACCAAUUAAUUGAAUAAUAAUUUCCUUAUGUGAUAAUUCAUUGAUUAUUUUAAUUGAAUUGGUAAAUUGUUUUGCAAGAAACAUUUAAAUAAAUCAAAUAUGGAUAAUUAUGAGAUUAAAUGGUUAAUUUAAAUUAUUUGUUAUUUGAUCCUUUAUAUUUUGAAAAGUUUAAAACUUGUCCUCAACUUUUGAAAUUUAAGUUUUGUGAUUAAAAGUUUAAUUUAGACAAUUUAAAUUUCAAACCCUAGAAUUUUACAAGUUUAAAAUUCAACAUUAUACUCUAUAUGAUUACAAGCUUAAUAUACAUACAUACAUACAUAUAUAUAUAUAUANAUACUAUUAUAUUAUUACAAGCUAUAUAAAUAUAUAUGUAUAAUUAAAAUGCUAGUCUUACCGUUAGUAGGCCUCAUUCACGAAGCCGGUCUAUAAGGUGGGUAUAAGGUUGUUGCCUAUAAAAUGGCGCUUAAUGGGUGUACACUCACACCCACCGCUUGCUUGAUCGGUGGAGGGUCGUUAGCCGAACGGGUAGGAUAUGGCAACUCUAUCUCCUCAUUAAAAGUAUAAUAUUAAAUACAAAGUAACUACAUGUUUUUCAAAUUCCCAAUCCUAGUUACUUUAGGAAAAGUGAAUUGAUGCAAACCCAUGAAAUUACACUUUGCACCCUUGCUAAGAAGUUAGUGGAGCGUGUGUGGUUUACCGGCACACUAAUUGGUUCUAAGCAAAGGUGGCAAAGGGUGAUUCAUUGUUUAUCAUAGUUUGGUGGAGCGUGUGUGGUUUACCGGCACAUCGAAUAGGUGAUUGUAACAAUGAAGGCACCGUGUAGAUUUGCAUGGUUAUUCACACCCACUUUGUGAUCCUCGGCAUCCCAGUCACAAACGAGAGGGGCAUAUCGAGAUUUAAACAUGCCAUUGAAAAUUUCAAUGAAUAUCAUCGAAAUCGAGGAAUUCUAAAUGCAUUUAAAACUUAAGGUUAUGUUUUGUGAUGGAGAAUUAGUGAAUCGUCAUUCACUUACCUUCAAAUUGUUUGCAUGUUGGAUUACGGCAUCCCUUUUCUAAUAUGUAAAUAAUGUUGUUGUAUCCUAGCCCUAAUUUUCCAUAUUGGGUGAUAAUUAGGGAUUCAAUUCUAAUCAAACUUUGUCCUUUUCUAUUUGUAGAUGUCGAACACCAACAACGUUGCUGCUAGCUCGUUCACAUUGAUGAGCCUUUGCCAAAAGGUGACUUUCGAUGGAACGAACUUUAGCGAAUGGAUAAGAUAUAUUGGCAUGAUUUCUCGCUACAAGGACAAGGAGUAUGUCCUUGACGAGAAGAUUGAGAAGAUCAAUCCAGAAGUUGCUACUCCGGCUGAAAUGACUGCUCUUGAGACUCAUGAACGUGAUGCGACGAAGGUUCAUUGCAUCAUGAUAGCCACAAUGAACGACGCAUUCCAAAAGUCCUAUGAGGACAUGUAUCCGUACGAAAUGCAUCAAGACUUAUUGGAGAGAUACCAUCAAAACGUGAGGCAGGAACGUUACGAGAUCUUCACUAACAUGAUCUCUGCUAAAAUGGGACAUGGAGAUUCCCUAAACGUACACUUGCAAAAGAUGCAAAGGUAUGUCAAUCGUCUUCACAAGUUGAAUGUCGACUUUGGGGAGGACUUAGCUAUCGACAUGGUACUUCAUUCCAUGCCUCCAUGUUACAACCAAUUUAGGAUGACCUACCACAUGAACAAGGAAGAGGUCACCCUAAGCAAGCUCCAAGGUCUCCUUAGGGUUGCUGAGAGCAACCUCAAGGACAAGUCUGUUGCACCAACUCCCAAUCCACCCGUUGCUCCUGUUUUGGCUAUUGGGCAGGGAAGGGGCAAGAAGCGGAAGGCUCCGUCUAAGAGCUACCGCAAGAGAAAGUCCCGAGAUGGUUGCUCUUCUAGUGGGACCAAAGUUGAUCCUGCUAAGCGAAACCCUAACCCAAAAGAGGCAGAUUGCCAUCAUUUCCACAAACUAGGUCAUUGGAAGAGAAGCUGCCCAGAAUACCUGCAAGCCAUCAGGGAAAGAAAGAUCAAGCCAUCUUUCGCAGGUAUUUACACAAUUAAAUCUAAUGAUUCAUCUCAUGUUAUUUCUUGGGUCCUCGAUACCGGGUGUGGUUACCACAUUUGUUCUGAAUUGCAGGGACUAAGAAGAAAUAGGGAUGUGGAGCGUGGAAGAAUAAAUCUAAUCAUGGGGAACAGAAGAUCGUCGCCUGUGACCAAGAUUGGAGUGUAUUCUUUAGUGCUUAGGAAUGGUUUAUGUUUAGAUUUGAACAAUUGUUGCUAUUCGCCAGAAAUGGCAAGAAACAUCAUUUCAUUUCAUGGUUUGUUUAGACAAGGUUUUAGAUUUUCUUUUAAUAAUGAGAAUGGUUCUAUUCUUGCUUAUCUAAAUGGUGUCUUAUAUUUUGAAGCAAUACCAUGUAAUGGAAUUUAUGAAACUGUUAUGAUUGUAGAUAACUUAGGAAAUGAUGUUUUAUGCAUGGAUUCUUCCAAUAGUAUGGAUAGAGCAUCCUUAUGGCAUUGUCGUCUUGGACAUGUCAACAAGAAGCGCAUAGCCCAACUCCAAAAGGAUGGAGUGUUGGAGUCCUUCGACCUUAGGGAAGAUGACACAUGCGAAUCUUGUUUACUUGGCAAGAUGAUCAAGUCACCCUUCACCGGUACGUGUGAAAGGGGUGAGGGUUUGUUGGAUCUCAUACAUAACGAUGUGUGUGGACCCUUUAGAUCCGCCACAAAGGAUGCAAACCACUUCUAUGUGACUUUCACCGAAGACUAUAGUAGAUAUGGGUAUAUUUACUUGAUCAAGCACAAGUCUGAAACGUUUGAAAAGUUCAAAGAAUUCAAACAUGAAUGGAGAAUCAAUUGGGCAGAAAAUCAAGAUGCUUCGAUCCGAUCGAGGAGGAGAGUACCUAAGUCUUGAAUUCCACGAUUAUCUUAAGGAAUGCGGAAUAGUUUCGCAAUUGAUGCCACCAAGGACACCGCAGUUGAAUGGUGUGGCAGAAAGGCGUAAUCGAACCUUAUUGGAUAUGGUUCGCUCUAUGAUGAGUCGUGCUUCACUACCUAUCUCUUUUUGGGGGUAUGCCUUAGAGACUGCCGCCCAUAUCCUUAACCGAGUCCCUACUAAGAAGGUUGCCAAAACACCUCACGAGAUGUGGACAGGGAAAGCUCCCUCGUUAGCACAUAUCAAGGUUUGGGGUUGCGAGGCUUUCGUAAGACGAGAUACUCACGACAAGCUCGAACCUCGAAGUGAGCGAUGUAUUUUCAUCGGCUACCCGCAGAAAUCCUUUGGAUAUCUCUUCUAUAGACCGAAGGACAAUGUUGUCUUCGUUGCGAGGAGAGGAGUUUUCCGAGAGCGAGAACUCAUAAGCCAAGGAGACAGUGGGAGGCAAAUCGAGUUUGAAGAGAUUCAAGAAUCGAUCGAUGAAGGAACCUCUACCACUGGCAUUCAACCUGAGGAGGAAACUCCGGUGGAUCCUAUUGACUAGUCAUUACCUCUUAGACGUUCCAAAAGAGUUAGAGUUCAACCCCAGUUUUAUGGUUUUCAUAUUAAUACCUAAGGGGACAUGUAUAUUGGUGAUGGUACACUAAUAAAUCUAGAUGAACCUAAUAGCUAUAAGGAAGCCAUGGCAGGCCCGGAGUCUGCAAAAUGGAAAGAGGCAAUGGAUAGCGAGAUCCAAUCCAUGUAUGAUAACNCCAAGUUUGGUUUGGUUAAUAAUGUGCCCGGACGUAAGACCGUUGGGUGCAAAUGGAUAUUCAAGAAGAAUACCGACGUGGAUGGAAAUGUACACACAUAUAAGGCGCGAUUAGUUUUGAAGGGCUUUACUCAAACUCCCGGAGUUGACUAUGAUGAGACCUUCUCACCAGUUGUGAAGAUAAAGUCUAUUAGAGUGAUGCUAGCUAUUGCCGCAUUUCAUGAUUAUGAAAUUUGGCAAAUGGAUUUCAGGACUUCUUUCCUUAAUGGGAAGUUGGCUGAGGAUGUUUACAUGGCUCAGCUAGAGGGUUUUGUUGAUCCAAAGCAUCCAAAUAGAGUGUGGAAGCUUGGGAAGUCCAUUUAUGGACUUAAGCAAGCGCCUCGUAGAUGGAAUCUUUGCUUUGAUGAGAAAGUCAAACAGUUUGGAUUUGUACGAAGCGAAGAUAAAUCAUGUGUAUAUGUCAAAGCCAGUGGGAGUAUAGUCAGAUUCCUCGUUCUGUAUGUCUAUGACAUAAUACUCAUAGGAAACGACGUCCGGACACUGUAGGAGGUUAAGUCCUGGCUCGGGAAGUGCUUCGCUCUGAAGGACCUCGGAGAGGCUUCCUAUAUUUUGGGAAUAAGGAUAGUGAGAGAAAGAAGUAAGAGACUAAUAGGAGUUAGUCAGAGCACUUACUUAGAUAAAGUACUAAAACGUUUUAGUAUGGAAAACUCGAAGAAGGGAGAAUUACCGAUACAAAGUAAUGCCAAGUUGAGUAAGACUCAAAGUCCGAGUACCGAAGCUGAAAUAGCAGAAAUGAGCCGAGUACCAUACGCUUCCGCAGUUGGCUCAAUCAUGUAUGCUAUGACUUGUACUCGUCCUGAUGUAGCCUUUGCUUUGAGCAUGGUUAGUAGAUAUCAAGGGAACCCUAGCAGAGCCCAUUGGAUUGCGGUCAAGAAUAUACUUAAGUACCUUCGAAGGACGAAGGAAUGGUUUUUAGUCCUCGGGGGGAGUGAUGACUUAAAGGUGCGAGGGUAUAGUGACGCCAACUUCCAGACCGACAGGGACAACUACCGUUCGCAGUCGGGCUGGGUAUUUACCCUUAAUGGAGGAGCAGUAACUUGGAAAAGUUCCAAGCAGGAAACCAUAGCUGAUUCAACGUGCGAAUCAGAGUACAUUGCAGCGAGCGAAGCGUCGAAGGAGGCAAUAUGGUUGAAGAACUUCAUUGGUGAUCUUGGAGUUGUGCCUGCCAUAAAGGAGCCUAUGGAAAUUUUCUGUGAUAAUGAAGGAGUGGUUGCCUUGCCAAGGAACCGAGGGAUCAUGGUAGAUCUCGUCAUACCGACAGAAAAUAUCAUUUUAUUAGACAUCAAGUAGAAGGACACCUUGUCGUUAGGAGGAUAUCAUCAGAAGAUAACCCAGCAGAUCCGCUUACGAAGGGACUGAGUAGGGUUAAGCAUUUGCAGCAUACUAGGAGUAUUAGACUGAGAGAUGAUAUUAUAUUAGAUUAGAUAAUUUUAGAAACUUGUAAUAGAUAAAUGUAAUUUAACAUUCGAUUAAUAAAUAAAGGAGUAUUAUUUAUAAGUAAAGUUACUGUCUUAUGUUAAAUGUUUAACUAUUGUUUCACUUUGCAUGUUUUGACUUCCAGAAUAAUUGAGUUUAUUUAGAAUAAUCGAAUUAUUCAAACAAUCCACAAUCGUUCAUAUGUUGGAAGUAGCUAUGAAUGAAGAUUGUCAUGAAUUGGUGUGUAGAUUGUCUAAAUGGUAUUAGACAUAGCAAAAGUUUGCUGCAACAUUCAUGAGUGCUUAUGAACUAGUUUNGGUUUUGAGAAUUGGAAUAGACUCGCGCUUGCUGGAAUCACCUUAUGGAAUGUGAUAAAAAGGGUGAUCGCAAGACGAUAAUAUCAUAUGGUCUUAAAACCUAGAUAUAUGGUUUGUUAUUUGUUAAUUGGUUGUACAUUGAUAAUGCGAAACUGCAUCAGUAAAUUGAUGUCAUAAAACGCAUUGUUGUGUGUAAUUGAUUAAUGAAUAAGUAAAUGCAUAUAAGUCGAAGUUUAUAUCUUACUUUUAUCCUAAGAGGGUAAAAGUGAUGUCUCGGUCGCUCGAUGAUUUGAUUUGACUUAUGUGCCAGGCCCGGUCAGAACUAAAUUGAUGUGUUCGAUUAAGUUCUAUGUCGAAUAAAUCUGAGAUCGAGAAACUAAAUGCUAGACAAUUAAUUCCAUAUAAUUGUCCGCAUAAUAUCUAAACAGAGGACUGUACGAUCCUUUAUCUAAAGGACAGGACUGAUAAGAUCAGAGUUUGACAGCGUCUUUAAGAGCUACGAUUGGUAAUCGGGUUAUGCUUGUAUAUAUAGUUACUAGACUUAUCCAAGUGGGAGACUGUUGGAAUAGUGUCUAAGGCUGCAACUAUAUUUGACAAGUAUUUGACCCGGUUGUGCAUGGUCCUUUUGGGUUGCCUUCACCAUAGCAACUUGACAGGAUGAUUUAUAAUGAGAGAAGAAAUAUUAUUAAUAUAUUAUGAGAAUAAUAUAAGGAAUAAUAAUAUUGUUAUUUGAUUAAUAUAAGUCAUAAAUUAAUUAGGAAUUAAUUUGGUGACUUAAAGAGAUUAAUUGAAUAAAGGGGCAUAAACUGUCAAUUGUAUGAUAGUUGUAUUUUGAGCUGUGAUUCCUUAUGAAUAAGAGGGUGGACGAUUUUAGGGUUUGGAAGAGCCUAGAAAUCGUCCAAGGCUUAUCAUUAAGGAUAUUGGAUUGCUUAGGGCCUAAGUUAUCUAAUUAUGGUUUUAAGGGUGAAACCCUAGGAAGCUCACUAGUAUAAAUACACCUAUAGGGUUGAGGAAAUCGGCACACUUGCAUUUGUAGAAACCCUGGCCGAUUUCUCACCCUUCUCUCUCUGUCUCUCUCACUUAUCAUCCUCUUGCUAAUUGGUGUUUGUAAGCCAUUAGAGGAGUGACAAUUGUGACUCUAAGCUCCAAGGACAAGAAGAUUCAAGCAAGCAACUCAAGGUAAUCCUUUAGAUCUGUUUUCAUAUGUUAUGAUUUGAAUGUUUUCAUUAGAUCUAUCAAUCAAAGUCUUGGAUACAUUGCAUGUUAAAUUAGAGAGACCUAGAUCCAAGCAUUAGGGUUUGUAUUUGCACAUAGGAAAGUUCUUAUGGCUCAAACCCAUCAAUAAUAACAUAUCAUGAUCAUACUGCUAGGCAUGCAUGGGUACUAUCUACCCCUUCGGUAUCUUUCAACCGGUAACUAUGGGCUAUAUCACCCUACCACUACUAACACAUAUGUUAUAGAAUCCUAGCACCAAAAGCAUAUCAGAUAACAACACACCAGAUAAUUAUCACAAAGACAAUCAUCUAACAAAUAACUCCUACUAGUGGGUCGGCAUUGUGGCUGUAGACCCACUCCAACUGGAAGGUAACUCACCUCGCACUGCUGAAGUCCCGAAGACUCAACCCCACACUGCUGAAGUCCUGCAGACUCGACCCCAGCUGCUGGAUGACAGAUUCCCGAUCUGUCGAUAUCAAAACAUCACCCAAUUAUAAUUGGGUACCAACACAUAACCAAUUACAUUCUUUGGUAAUUACUACAUUACCCCCAAGCUUGGCUCAUUCAAGCCCAAGGCCCAAUCCAUAGGCCCAAAAGUCCAACAAUGGCUCAAAGCCCAACAUAUGGCCUAAUGUUCCAAAUUGGGCCCAACCUUUACAUGGUCUCAUUCUAAGGCCCAAAAUUCGGCCCAACCUUUACAUGGUCUCAUUCUAAGGCCCAACAUCAUAUAAUCAUUAAGGCCCAAACUAUGGCCCAUCUAUGGCCCAGUUUUCCAAAUUAGGCCCAAACCCCUUACAUGGGCCUUACCCUUGGCCCAUUAAAUAUUCUAGUCCAUUUGCUUGACUUUGGAUGGCCCAUUAAUAACGCAAUCAUCAAGGCCCAAUAGAAGGCCCAACAAUACACCCAUGUGAAAGUAGGGUUUCACAUCAAAUGAUGAUUAGGGUUAAGUGUUUCUCGCUUAACCCAUUAAGGACUUAAUCCAUUAAGUCCAUCAUCUUCUAAAUAAGUCAUAUGGUGUGAUUGGGUUUAAUCACACAAUUCCAUUAUUCCAAUGGCCCACAAGUGGGUCUUAAUAAGUUCAAGACCAUAAAUCCAAUAUUAGGGUUUUCAAUCCCAUCUUAGCCCAAUAGGCUCAUUAGUUAAGUGCUUGGAUACCUUAGGGUCCAUUAAGCCCAUUAGACACAUGUUUGGGAUUUUAUGCCCAUUAAGCCUCAUUGGGCCCAUUAGGGUUUCAGUCCCUUGACCAAACAUACCCAAACUAGCAAUCCCAACACAACUAAGCAAACCGCCACCCGACACGGCGGCCGGUGGCGGCAGGUGGCGACUGCCACCACCCUAAGGUGGUGGUUUGAGUUUCUUUCUCAUUAUUCCAUCUCCAAUUACAUGUUACAAUGCUAAAACUCGAAAUAAAAACACACACUAAUCAACAUAAACACACACACAACCACCCACUGGUGGCCGGUGGUGGUAGAAGAUGGCAGCCACCACCUCACGAUGGUGGUGGUGAUUUUUAGUGGUUUCAAAUCAAGCACACACACACCAACAGCAACCCUUGCUCGGAAAACGAACCCAACACCCACCUGUAGUGGGUGGCGACGGCGGGAGCACAAGAAACGGGCGGCAGCAGGAGCCAUUCACGACAACAACAUCGUUGUCUGCGUCAGCCACCAUGGUCGGCGGCCGUGGUGGUUUUUCAUGAGCUCUAGCCAACAUAAAGUCACACACACCCACGCAACUAUAUCAUAAUCCACGAUCCAGCCUCCGUUUCAUGGUAGUGACGACCCAAAAAUGCUUUCAAGAAUACAGGAGGAGGAGAAUGGCGACGACGGAGCUACGGAACACACAACGGUGCCAACAAGUGGCGGUUAGCGGCGUCGAUGCAUCCCAGCGACGACCGACUCGGAAGAAGAAGUGGGCAGCGAUUCGGAAUCAACAACAGCAGUCGUGGUCUCGGUCUACAAGCAUGUCAUCACCGGCAGCAAAGCAACGAUGGCUUCUUUGAUGGUGAAGCAGCAGGCGGCGGCGUUCGAGACUCCAUCUGAUCGGCGGCGGCGGCUGAGGAGCAUCAGAAGGAGGUGGCUCCGGAGAUGGGAGAUAUAAGGGUGAGGGGGUGACGGCUGUAAUAUGAUUUAGGGUUAGGUUUCCUUAAAGAAUAUAUACCCGACGCCUUUCCAAAGUUGCUGCCAUAAUGGCAGAAAUGGCCCCUUUCUAGAAUUACCUUUUUCAAAUUAAAUCCCAUAGUUUACCCUUUAAACCCUCAGCAUUAAAUCCUUAACAAUUUAGGUCCGGUUUCUACUAAAAUAGCCCCUCCCCUACAAACUAUUUUCAAAAGAAGUCCCAAUAAUUACCAAGUAAUCCCUGCCCUCAUAAUUCUUUACGGAACCCAUCCGAAACUUACACUUUUGUCACACCCCCAAACCAGAACGGCGGAAACGUUCAGGGGCGGAGGACGUCAUAUUCAGUAUUAUAAAAGUUCAUAGAAAGGAAAGUACACACCACCAUACAUAUAUAAAGGUUUUUAAAAAUGCUUACAUAAUUGUAUUCAUUACAUGCUCAAAAUACAAAUGCAUAAACAUCUUUCAAAAGAAAUAAUUAACGCCAACGCGUUAAUCCCCAAAAGUUGAUUUCCAAACCUGCUUAACGGUUCCCUGAGAAUACAAGUUAUUUCAAAGAAAAAGUGUCAACAAUUAAGUUGGUAAGUUCAUAAGUGAUUUAGAAACAUUGAAUGCCAUUCCAAAAUGAGUGUAUAUUUUCCAACAAAAUCUCUUAUUUUCUUAUAAAAGUAUGUAGUGUAUGAGAGUAUUUGUGUUGAAAAAUGUAGAUAGUUGAACCAAGAAAAUCACAUAUUUCCCUAAUAGUUGUUUGUUUAAUGUCCAAGACUAAAAAUUGGAAGCAAUCCACAUGCUUUAGAAGAUUUUAAACAUAGACUUAUAUAAUAAACCUAUCAGAAGAUUUCAUUUUGUUAGAUAAGGAAUAACCUUAGUAGCUACUCGUUCAUCAAUCAGAAGUACUAUAAUAGUUGUGUAUCCGAUGAGUUUUAUAACCAUACUAAACAUAAUAUGCCUGUAGCGACGUUCUUCAGGCGUCGUAGCGUUAUGACAAACUGUCACCCCAAAGGAAGGACUGUAGCUAACAGUCAGGGCGCGGGAUCAUGACUUCCCGUAUAGAUCUAUACACAUUUGACACGUUCUCCGAACGGGAGACUCUGGUUAUAGACAAGACUUGUAGCGAUACCCUCUAACAAAAAGGCAGUAUUUGAAGAUGUACACGUCUCAUGGAUUCUCAACUAAGUCUGUAUUAAAGUAAUAGUUUUGUAUGCAAAGUUUAUCCUUUUUCACAAUGUUUGACAAAGCAUAAAUCAUAAGUUUUUAGAAUGUAUAAAACGGUUUAGCAACGAAGGAUACUUUGGAAUUACUAAAUACUUUGUAUAAAUCUAGUGCAUGCAAAGUAUGACAAGAGUUUUCACAUAGUAGUACUAAAUCACAAGUGAUUCAUUUGAUAAAAACGAGUAANAUCGAUGUUUCACACGAUUUUAGUCGUGUGUUUACUUGUAUUUCCCCCCCCCCUAAAAGAGUAUAUAUAUAUAAAAAGAAAAACAUUUAAAAUGUAUUUAAAGUGUGUUUGUAGGGGUAUAAACUCACUUAAAAGUUUGAAGAUAGCGAGAUGGAAAACCGGGCAGAGUUUCGUCUCGGGAAACGGAUUUUUCUCGGGAUUCUCGGGAAUCUCGGGAGUAAAAUCAACCUUCGGGACUUGAGCAAAAUGAUCAGGCUUCGGGGUAGUGCGGGCACGGAUAUCGAGGCAAUAUCGUGAGAGAAAUGAGAGAAAUGGGGUAAAUUUUCCGAAACCCUCGCAUCCCUUUUAUAGGGGCUGAGAGGCCUCGGUACGCGGGGCAUACGGGCGUACCCGUGCGUCAUGCAUGAGCGAGUCCUCGACUGCCCCGGAGUUCGGAUGGGACGGGGCGUAGCUCGCAUAGGAGGCGACGUGGACGAACCGGAGCCCUUGAUUUGAGUACGCGGGGCGUAUGAGGGUACGCAGGGCGUACCUCGGUCCUAACUGCUGACUCUUCUUCGGAUAAUACCAAGAGUUUAUAUUUAAAUCUAUAUUUAUUUUAAAUAAACUUCUAAAAUUCAUAUCUCCUUCAUACGAACUCCAUUUUCGACGUUCUUUAUAUCCACGCGUAGGUGAGCCUAAGAUCUACAACUUUCGUUUAGAUUCCGUCAGCAAAUUCUGAAAUUAUUUUUAUUAUUUAUUUUUAAAAGGUCGGGGUAAGAGAAUUCGUUAAAAAUUCAUAACUUUUUCAUACGAUGUCCGAUUUGAGCGUUCUUUUUAUGUACGUUUGUAGUUGAAUGAUAUCUAUGACUUUCAUUUAGAAACCUAAGGUAAAAACGUGUUUUAUUGAAACUUUGCGUUUUUACGUAACUUCGUAUUGCCGGUUUUUGUCGGAAAACUUAGAAUGGUCAUAACUUCUUCGUUAUAACUCGGAUUUUAGUGUUCUUUAUAUGUUUGGAAACCUUAAGACGAUAUUUACUACAUAGUGUACUCCAAACAGAGCUCUAGAACACUUCAUUUUUCGAUGAUAUAUUCUAAUUACUUUUUCAAUGAGGUUACAAAACUCGAUUUUCAAUGACCUGAAAUGACGGGUUGUUACAACUUUUAACCCUUGACUUCUCAAAUCUUUUCAAUUAGUUCCUCGAAAUUACACCUUGCUUAAUAAUUAUUGAUUUUCGGGCUAUGUUAUUAUCAUUAAUUUAUUUAUUUAUUAUAAAGAAAUAAACAGUGUAUUACAUAGGAGACCAGAUAUUAUGUUCUCAGUCUGCUAUUGUGGCCGAUUCCAUGCUAACCCACGCGAACCUCACAUGAUGGCAGUGAAGAACAUCUUUCACUAUCUGAAGUGAACCACCUCUCUCGGUCUAUGGUAUCCAUCCAAUUCAGGAUUCUUUGUCCAAUCAUUCUCAGAUGCUGACCUAGGGGGAUGUGGAUUGGAUCGUAAAAGCACUACUGGAGGAUGCCAAUUUCUUGAUGGAAAAUUAGUAAGUUGGCAAUCAAAGAAACAAACCUAUGUUUCUCUCUCCACAGCCACAGCUGAAUACAUAGUCGUAGCAUCAUGCACAUCUCAGGUCAUUUGGAUACAAAGUCAACUUUGAGACUAUGGGUUGAACAUGAAUAAACUCCCACUAUAUUGCGACUCCGAAAGUGCAAUUAGGAUUUGUCAUAACCCAAUGCAACACUCAAAGACAAAGCACCUAGCACUUCGGUAUCUCUUUAUAAAAUAUCAUGUGGAAGAAGAUAACGUAGAGAUUCAUUUUAUUAGAACCAUUGAUCAAUUAGCAGACAUCUUUACUAAGGCUUUACUUGAAGCAAGUUUUAGUAAGAUCCUACAAGGCAUAGGAAUGAUGGAAGCUGAAUCUGUUCCAAAAUCACCUUCACUUCAUUAAAGGUUGGAAGCGAAAUAGAGGGAACGCUCGGUCUAUUUCGGGUUCGGUCCUACUAAACUCGGUUCGCUUUAUUUUUCUCAAAGGAAUUUUGGUUGUAUUCUUUUGUACACUCAUUUACAUACUUAUUUUUAUGUUUUUCUUUUCAUUUUUUUUAUUUUCAUAAAAUCCAAAAAUAAUUUUCUUUUUGUUUUUAUUUCUUUUUCUUUAGAAAUCUUUCACAAAAUACAAAAAGACUUUUCGUUUUAUUUCACUUUUCUCAUGUUUUUCUAUGUAUACAAGUUACUCUCAAUGAUGAAGUUGAUGAAGGUAUAAAUUCUUUUCUAUGUAUUAGUUAAGUGUCCUGGAAGCAUGUUGUUGCAUGUCGACCGAUGCCUCUAUAGAUUUUGAGUGACACCUUAAUGAUGUGAUAUAUAUAAAUCAUGUUUUCCCAAUUAGGUUGUUAAAUUCAUUCUAAUCAUGAGCUACCUUACUCUUCUCAUAUUGAGCUUAGAGUAUUCUUCUUGGUCCUACUUUUAUAGCAGAGGUACAUUUGGCUCCUUAACCACCUAUAUCAUUUUUCUCCAUCUCACUUCAUAUCAUUAAUGUAACCAUUGAGACUCUCAGCAAUUACUACUGAUGUUUAUGGUUACACAAUUUAUGUGUUUAUGAUCUUAGUCCCAUGUUACUACGUACUAAGUGAAACCCAAAAUUCAAUACCCAUAAUGAAUUGAUGGUGAACAAUUACUAUGUUCUAGCUUUCGCCAAUGAAUUAACAAAACCACUCUAUGUGGUGUUACCAUGAAAUCUCUUUGCAUUUUGAGAGAUCCUUUUUGAAAAUUGUCUAUCACCAAGACUUUUCUUCCCCAAGGGUACAGUUUUAAUUUUUAUUUGACAUUUCUUAUUGCGUUUUCAACAAGUCACUGAAUACAUGUCAAACCUACUUGUUCAACAGGGCUCAUUGGUCUCACAGGUACUUCAUUCUCUUCUGAUCUUAUAUCAAGAACCGAAACUUGAAUUGAAGCGAAAGCCACCCUUACAAGCCUUAUAUAUAAAAAGAUGCCUUUCAUUGCUUCUUAAAAAGCACUUGAUCGUAUUUUAAGCGGAAAACCUCACAGACACUUUGAAGUCUCUCUUGACUUGGAAGGAAGAGAUUCGUGCCCGGGAUCCACUGCUUUAUGUGUAAAUCGACAUCACAAUAUCCCACAAAGUUUGAUUUAUUUCGUAUAGCUUGGGCUCUAAAGGUGUUAUGGUAGUUCUCAAACGAAAUGAUCUAGUUGACACAUAUUCAUGUUAUUUCUGUUGGUGACGUUUUAGAUAAAGCAAAAAGGGUGAGUCAGCAGUUAUCCAAACGUUUGGUCAUUUGAAAAAGGCGAUUUGUAUGGAAAGGUGAUUUGUAUGGAAAGGCGCGUAAAAAUGAAACGUUUUCUCUCUCGUACGUAAUCAUCGGGGUUGCCAACUGUCUAAUCCCUACUGUAUCCGGAACCGUUUCACAAAAGACAAGAUUUUGGGCGGAUUUUUCUCUUUCCUACUCUCACGUAUAAAAGGUUUCUCCUAAUCCACUUUACUCUUUUACCACGCUCAAAUCUUCUAAAGCGAGAGACGGUUUAAUUCACUAUUCAUCAUCUUCAUCUCAAGCUACAUCCAUGGCAGAAUCUUCUUCUGUUCAAGACACCUCUGUUCACUUCACUCUUUUGACCAUCAAGCCUUAACAAAACCUCUUGGUCAACCUUAUAACGUUCACCUAUGAACCCUACAUGCUGCAGGUUGUGGAAUGCCUCAAAUACUCUCCGCUUGUCAACACUCUUACAAAGGUGGAAGUAGUUCCCAUGUCCUAUCUCACUCAUAUCUACUCAACUGCUCACUAUGACAAAGUUGCAAAGAGAAUCCACUUUGACAUUCACAACGAGAAGACCUCGAUUUCCAAAAAUCGAUUAUGCACACUGCUAUGUCUUGCUCAUGAACCCACCAUGGUAAACCCUGAUUCCAUCACCACUGGUCAACUGUUCUCAAUGUUCUACAACAUGGGGUACACUGAAACCCUAACCACAGUGACGAAGUUCAAGAAAUCAUUUCUUCCUCCACAAAGGAAUGGCCUCUUAACUUUCUUGUUCAAAGGUUUCUCAAAGCGUAGAGCUGGAUCAAACGGGGUGAGUAAAUCGUUCACGACUAUCCUUUAUGGGUUAUACAAUGGGGUACAUCUUUACUAUGGUUCAGUCCUAUGGCAACAACUUGUUCAAAGCUUAACCUCCUCUUCUCACCAUUCGAAAGUCUCGUGUGGCAGGUUUUGGUCUAUUGUCAUGAAAUGGACGAUGGGUCAUUUUCAUGUCCCAAUCAUGGCGGACUCGCUUCUCUCCUCCAUCGCAACAUUCCAUACAACAAAGAUCAUUGUCACCGAUCCGUCAAAAUAUAUGUUUAUUGAAUCAGUUCAGGCAUCCAUGUAUGCUUGUGUGUAUGAAGCAAGUCAUGUCAUUCAAGAGUACAAGAAGCUUCCUUCAUCGGGUCCAAGGGAACUCUCACCUGCUAUGAUUCGCUCCAUAGAGGAAGUAAACAAGCUGGCAAAUAGGGGAAAGAAACAAUAAAAACAAAAGGAAGUGAGGGUUAUUAAAGAAGCUAGGGGGAAAACUCCUAGGUAGCGAAAGUCAGAGAAGACGGCUCCUUCCCAGCCUAAGCAGAAGAAAGCCAAAAAGCCAGCCCGACAACUUAUCCUUCAAUUUUCCAGCGACUCAGACUCUGAGUAUCUUCCUACAAGCCACAAACAACCUAUUCCUACCGCAUCUAAGAGCGAAAGCUCUGAUGAUGAGAUUUCGUUUCGUGGUGAUACUCCACCUAGAUUGCCUACACCUGAGGUACCCGUUCGCUCCCUAGUACCUUCUUCUCCAACUGCUUCCAUUCCUAUUUCCUUACCUCCCACCUUCCCAAUUAUCACAUCACAACCCACUUCUACCAUUCCCAUUCCCAUUCCCACUCCUCUCUUAUCUGAAGCCACCACAACAACCACCACUGGAGUUCAACCCAACGUAUCUGAUACGGGGGUUCGGUCUUCAGUCCCUGAAACAACCAAACCACUAUCUCUCACACCCUCAACCGAAACCAAUAAUGUCCUUGGUGGUGAAGAAAUGGAAUUUGAUUCUUUCUACUACAGCCCCUACCGAGUUCAUAGUGAUAAAGAUGAUGAUGCUCCUAUUACCAAAAAGCACAUCAAGGAGCUGAAUGAAAAACUCGACAAUCUCAUGGCCUCUUCCUCCUCUCACCAUCCCUACUCUGAAGCUGUUAUUCAGAGCAUGGUUGACACUUUUGUUAAAGGUCAUGAAGGAUCUAUUUCUAAAGCCACAGCUGCCAUUACCGCCUCAACCAAAGUUUGUACAAAAGCGACCAAAAAAGUCGAUAAACAAAUUCAAGACACUAAUAUUUUUCUUGAGUCCUUACAGGGAGCAGUUGAGUUGAACGCUUCUAAAGUGACCAUCUCAAUUACCAAACUCGAAGAAUCCUUUGCUGCUGAGAAGCAACACUUUCCCUAUCAUCGCCAGGACAUUCAAAAGGAUAAUGUUGCCCUUCUGCCCUCUCUCAAUGAACGUUUCACAAAGCUUCAAGCUGAUCUAGCCAUGGAGAACUCACUCAUGGAUGAACUUGCUCUCAAGACUACUCAGCUAAAAACCAAAAAUCUCCAACUUUCUCAGGCGAACAAUGAGGUCAAUCAACUUCGCUCUGAAAGGGUUUUCGUCAAAAGCUGUGUCUUAGACGUACACGCCAUUUUAUCAAACUUCCUGGAGGCUCACGAUUCUAUCCUGACCAUCUCGGUUAGACGCCAUCUUGCUGACAAAUUCCAUCCUGCCCUUGGGAUGUUGAGUCGCAUUGAAGGUGUUUCAGAGACUGUGGUACCUCCAAAACAAGGGGGAGAAGGACUAACGUCUAAGCCUCAACCUCCUCCUACUUCCCAGCCAGAACAACCGAAGACUGAGCAUGCUUCGGGUUCGGGCUUUAAGGAUAAAGGCAAGGGUACUGUGGAUGACUGUGAUGAGGAAGAGGAGACAAUAGCUGAAGUUCUAAAGCGAAAGGCAAGGGAAAGGGAAAUCGAUCUCAAUGCGAAGAUUGUAAAGGAAGCUGAAGAGAAUGAAAGAAGAUCAAAGGAGGCUCAUGAUCUCUUAAAAAGCAAGAAAACCCUCUUUCCCUUCUAGACUCUGGAUAAUCUGAUCAAAGAAGCCAUCGAAGCUCCUAGCACUCAUUGGCUUGAGCCGGUAGUGUCUUUGGAUUGUAAAAACACAAGGGACUCUCACCAUGAUAUGCCUAUCAACUGGAAGGCGUUUGUUUUUCACUGCUUUCUUCCUAUCGCAAAAGUACCACAUCCAGACCCGAAGGUUGAUCGUGAACUAAUUGACUACUAUUUGGAGUUCCCUCAACUUCAAUAUCUUACUUGGAGCGCUCAGAAAAUUGUCACAGUUCAGGUCCUUAAGCCUCAAGCAGCAGCGAAAUUCAUAAAUGUCAAAUUCAAGGUUACCAGAGGUUCGGCCAUGAGUGAGCAUACCUUCUCCCUUGCUGAUCUACCUAAUCUCAAUCCUCAUGAUUGGAUUGUCAUGCACAACAUUCUUCUCUCCAACCCAGUUGAGUAUGAGCCAAUAAUUGAUCAUCUGAAAAGAUUGUUAGUCUGCUACAUUCUAGAGGUAGCUAAGAUGGAUCAAGAGGUCGCUUAGGUUCUCAGAAAGAAGCCUACCAUUUUUCCGGUUGGUUACGCAAGCGAUGUCAACAAGAUGAAAAUGGUAAAGAUUGACCAUGUGUUAAACUCGAUGAUUUUCACUAAACAAGAUGGUAAGAAAUGCUUGUUUUCUCUAACUGAUAAACAUCUCUUUACUACUACGUGCUUGGAGUAUGUUCUGGGAAUCAUUCACAGAUGUAAGCAGAAUAAUGAAAGCUAUUAGAAGUAACUCACAGAUAUGAUAAGAUGGUAUAUCCACUUUCACCAUGUUCUUCUUGCUGUGAUUGCAUUCUUGUUCAAGGUAGUGAAGCGAGCAGCUUUCAAUCAACCGAAGUGAAGGUCUCGCCCCAAUUGACGCAAAGGGGUAGAUUGUUGUGUAACGCCCCGAUUCUCAGGUAUGGAUUUAAAUAAAACGUUCUUUGGUUUUAGGUCCUACUCGAGAGUUAGUUGCCCUACUUGUCGAGUAGGAACGGGGUGAAAUCAAGUGUUAAGUGACCUAGUCACCGAGUCCAAGGAGGGACUCGACGAGUAAGAGCUGGCAGAGGAAACCCUAAAUCUCGGGCUUUUGCACCCUAUUUAAGGAAGCCUCAGCCUCCUUUGGCCUCCUUACAGUCUUUGAGAUCUCUUUGAAACCCUAAUUCAUGUGGUACUGCAUGUGGUGCGUUUUAGACCUUGGAAAGUAGAUUGGCUUCGAGAAAAGAGCUUGAAGAGAAAAGGAGUUGAGGCAAGGAAGGUGUGGGAAACAAAACUUACCUCAUCUAGCAUCUUUUGGAGGUAUCAAGUCGCAAUCUUUACUCCUUUUUCUUCUAUAUCUCUUUGUGGUUGAGUUUUAGGGUUUUAUGGAUUUUUGGGAGUCACAUUAGUGAGCUAUGGGCUAGAUCUGAAGUUGUAACUUCAGAUCUAGACCCUUCUCAAGUUCUAGAAUCAUAAAUUUUCUGUUUUGGUCGUGGUUGAGGCCCUCCUUGUGCAUGAAACCCCGUUAAGAGCUUAGAUUUGGCAUUAAGAGCCUUUUUAGUCAUGCAUGCAUGUAAAGUUUGCAACUUUACGUGGAAAGCAUGUCCUACAAGCUUGGAUCUGUGAUUUGGAGCCAUUACAUAGCUUAAAUAAGUUUGUAUGGCUUAGGGAUUGAAGGAACUCGACGAGUCGCAAGGUUGACUCGGCGAGUCAUAUGAAGAUGGUGAUUGAACUCGACAAGUUGAUGAACAACUCGGCGAGUCCAAUGAAAAUUGCCUUAGACUCGACGAGUGGUAUGAACAAGUCGGCGAGUCAGAUGAGUUUCCCCGAGUUAUGAAUGCAUGUGCAGCCGACAUGUUGCAAAAAGGAAACUCGAUGGGUGGCCUUAGGGUUUCUAUCGAAAUUCGUAAGAACUUGACGAAUCACACGAUGACUCGGCGAGUGGGAAAGAACUUCAAAGAACUCGGCGAGUUAUGGUCAACAGGGACUGUUGACCUGGGCUAAGGACUUUAACUUUGACCUGGGGUUGACUGGUUGGUUUAUGGAGUACUUGUGAGGUUGAGGAUUUAUGAGUAUGCUCGUACUAUGGUAAUAGGUGGAGGAGUCUUUGGCGAGUGAUCCGGGAGUUCGGAUUUAUCUACCGAGUCGACAUCUGUGAAGUGAGUUAUCCUUACUAUAUCAAAAGGGUCUAAGGAACCAAGGCCGGCCCUUUAGUUGUUAUGGUUAUGAUGUGAUGUAUGCGAUUAUGAUCUAAUAGAUUGGCAUCAGGAUAGACAGUAUGUUAUGUUUUAUGAUCCCUAGGGAUUGGUAUGUUAGUGGCCUAUUGGGCCUGUGCCCUAGUGAUGAGAGAUCGCUAUGAUUCAUGAUCCAUAAGAUAAAUAUGUUUGAUGUCUGUAAAUGCCAGUAUAUGUUAGUUAUGCGCACAUGAUUAUUUGUUUGUUGGUUGGGUUGAGGCGGUCCUGCUUUGUGUUGAAAGCCGACAUACCCUAUGAGCGGUCCGGGGAGACUGUGGGCCCACGUGGCGGUCCAGUCAUGCCGAAGGCUCGGUAUAGAUUCAGUUAGACUGUAGGCCCUGUAGGGCGGUCCAGUCGGGCCGAUGGCCCAGUAUGCAUAUUGAUUGUUUGAUUAUUACUAAUAUGAUAUUAGUAGUGUGGUGUGGGUAUUUUGGGGGUAGCUCACUAAGCCCUUGGGCUUACAGUUUUCAGUUAUUGUUUCAGGUACUUUAGGAGAUCGUGGCAAGGCGAAGGCGUGACCGUACGGCUCCUCAUCCUUACGAUCUGUUUUUGGGACACUCUGAUGAAUAAUGAUUUGAAAACAAUUUGUAAACAAACACUAUUUGGGUUUAAAUUGUGAUUGGAAAAGUGUAAAUUCGGUGUAAAAUUUAUGGAUGUUACAUGUUGGGAUUUGGAUGUUGCGUCUUGGGCUCGUUUGUUGUUAGCCUAGUUUUGUAACCGGUUUGGGCCUGUCUAACCGUGUAGUAUUUUAUUCUAGGGUUUUAGUAUUUAAGGUGCAUGCAUGCAACCUUAGUAAGUAACUCUUUUAUUAUUCUCACUAUAGUAUUGUAAACGUUAGCUCGCCUCUACAGUGGAAGUUUUUAAUCAAGCUCUGCUGAGGCGUGACUACGUUUGAAUCAUCAGCAUUAUAUUGAUUAUAUCUUGUGUUCAUUGUCUUGUUUGAUAUUGUUGUUUGUUCUUCAUUGAUUAACCUGUGAAAGAUCUAAACGAUCUAGAGAUUAUCUCUCAUCAAUAUACAUAAAUAACACAUUUACACACUCACUUUUUACAACUCUCAAGCACACCUCUACAAGUAGACUAAACCCACCUUAUAUAGAGUUGUUUACAUGUCUCUCUCUCACUCUCUAUCUUAUGAGUCAUAAGGCUAAUGCACCACAUGCAAGUGGGUCAUAUAAAAGUCAACACAUUACAAAGUCAUACAUGGAUAACUUUGCACCCCAACAUUCUCCCCCUCAAAGUUAGCAAUGGAUGACCCACUUCAAUUCUUUCAAAAUCGAGCAACUACGCGAUCCGAGCCUUAACGGUGACACAUAUCGAAAUGAACUUCAAAUCUUUAAUUCUUCCAUGAUUCUUCAAUUUGGGCUCUAAGAUGUAAGACCAUACAAACUGAGCAUCAACGAAUGAUCACGAGCUUCUCAAACUCCAAAUCGAUCACCCAAAAGUUGAGCAUAAAAACACACUCCAAAAAUCUUCAAUAAAUCCAAACCCAUUUCCAAAAUAAAUCAGUUCUGAACUUCCAAUUGCAUCAUUUCGUAAGCUUCAAAAGUUCAAGGUCACUUCGGUCUUCGAAUCCGCGUAAUAUGAAAAAUUCAAGUUUAAAUUUCCAUAUAAAUUUAUCCCCCUUUUUAUAAUCGAAAUUUGAUUAUAAAACCUUCAAGGAAAGAGAAGGUGCUCUAUUCGAAAUUUUUCGUGUCAAAACUCCCCUUAACAUGUGGGAUAAACUUUGUGGUUUAAUCCGGAAAACCCAAAAAAUAUUAGAUUUUUAGCUUCGUUCACGGAUAGAAAUUGUCAAUUUCAAAAUUCUGCAGUGACUUGGUGCGCCUAAAACAGCCAAAAAUGCAAAACUCUCCCCUUUUCCGAAGUUGUGUAGAAAGCGUCAAUUUGCAUUAACUGCAGGGGGCUGAAAUGCAUUUUCUUCAAUUUCUCAGCAAAAACAGUCCUUUUUCGAAAUUGAGUACUUGCUUCCAACUUUUCGAAAUAUCAGGGACUACUUUCGACAAUUCUACCCACAUCUUCAAACGUGUCGAAAUUAUACCCCAAAUGUCGAAAUUAACUACAAAUUGUCGAAAUUAGGUAUAAGCUGCCAAACUGUCAAAAUUUCAGGGGCUGUUUUCGAAAAUUCUUCAUUUUUCUUCAAAACUAAUGAAACCUUUAUCCCAACUGUCGAAAUUUUUUAAAAGGUGUUAAACUAUCUAAAGUUUAGGGACUAAUGUUGAAAAUUUUAUGAGAGGCGAAUAUUUCUUCCUUCCCUUUUCGUUAGCUUCAAUCACAAACGUCGACAUCAUUUUAAUGAAAACUUUUCAUUGCAUCUUUUAACGAAAUUUUUUCUCAUCACCCUUUCAACGAAAAAAUUUCAUUCUGAUUAACGAAAUCGAAAGCAUGCGAAGCCUCUGAAUCUCGUCUGAAUCAUUCAACCACUGAAUCAAGAUUUCGUUAAUACAGAGCUUCUCAAAUCAUCGACAUCAACUUGCUUGCUUUCGUUCAUAACCAUCUGCUAAAAUCAUGACUUAAAAAAAUUUCGACUUCCUGACUCCAAAUCAAUCGAUUCCGUCUGCAAUUAGUCGACCUUCAAUCACAAGUCAAUUCGUUAAUGAACUCCAAUUCUACUAUCGACUUUUAAUCAUCGAUAUCAAGUCACUCGAUUCCAACAGUUCUCAAAUCAAGAUUUGUUCGUCCCCAAACCAUCAAAUCUAGUUUAGAUAUCAACACAUCAAAAGAAAACUCCUCACCAAGUAGACAUUUCCCAAAAUAAAAAAAAAUAAAAAAAUAAAAAAAUUCCAGUAACUAACCUCGAAAUCUAACCCAAAAAUCAAAUUUUCGCACAUUAAUUCUUCAAUCAAGCCUUCGUCAGCCACAUGUUCAUCAAAUCGACUCCAACCCAAUUCAUCAACUCAGCCUUCGAUCUAUAACCCUAGCACAAGACUAUGAAUGUAAUCAACUUUAUUGACAAAAUCCAAGUCAUCAAGCACCAAAUCCAAAUAGUCUUCGUACAUAGAAAUCAUCGAUAUUGAACAUUGACUAUGAAAUCCAGGGCCUCACAUUUCAUUCAACUGGUCAUCAACAUUCGAAAUCAAUGUCAUAUUAUCAUUCCAAAAACAAUCGUCCAUCCAUCGACUUCAAUCAAUUACAGUAUGUCAUCAAGAACAUCCACACCUCCAGAUUCUAUAUUAAACUGAAAUCAGAUUAGAUUUUGACUCUUUCAACCUCAAAACAACUUGUAACUAUCGAUUUCAUCAUACGAUUCACCGAUUCAUCUCUUGAAAUCCAAUUUUGACUUUUUCACAAUUUGACAUCCAAUAUCGAUGAUCGACAAACACCAAAAUCCGUUUUGAAGUGUUGCGUCUGUGGCUUGCUCCUUAGCCCUGUUCCGUUACCGGUUUGGGCCUGUUCAACCGUGUUUUUAUUAGGGUUUUAGUAUUUAAUGUGCAUGCAUGCAUCCUUGGUAAUUAUCUCUUUUAUUUUAUUAUUCUCAUAAUUAUACUACAAACCCUAGUUCGCCUCUACAGUGGAAGUUCUUUAUCAAGCUUUGCUGAGGCGUGACUAUUCUUGAAUUACUAAGUUAUACUUUGAUUCCAUCUUGUGUUCUCUGUGUUUGUUUGUUUGUUUUUACUGAUUAAAUUGUUGAAGAUCUAAUCGAUCUAAGAGUUUGCAACUCAUCGAUUAGUAUGAGAGCAGGAGACUGUGUAAUUCAUACACAUCUCUUCUGUUGAAGAAGAUCUUUGGGUUUUCCGUUUUGAUCGAUAUUGUUAGAGCCAUCAUUUGCUAUUGACGUAGUUCUUUAAUAGUCAAUCUUACCCUAACGUUAUUACAAGUCUGAUCUUAAGCAGGUUUUUGAACAAACAUCAUCAUGUCCAUGGAAGAUUCUCAGACAAACCUAAUCAAUAUCUCCAACAGUAUAGGAUCGACGACAAGGAUUCCUAUAUUAUAUACUCAAGAUUAUCAAGUCUGGACGCAUCACUUCGAAGACUACGUGAUUGGUUCAGAAGACAAUGGAUACUUGAUCUGGGAGGCGAUUACUGUAGGUCCAUUCACUCACUCAAUCACUUCAAGAAUUGUUAAAACUCAAAAGGAGUACAAUCAACUUGUCAAUGAUGUGAAAGACAUACCCCCAAGAUGAGAAGGAAAAGUUUCAGUGCAACAUCAAAGCUUUAAGGAUGAUAAGGUUCUCUUUAUAAUCAGACAUGUUUCGGUUGGUAAGCUCAUGCACAAUGGCGAAAGAAAUUUGGGAUAGGUUGAAGGAACUAUACUCUACGGAUGAAGAUCUUGAGCAUUCAAUCCAAACUUUAUUGCUCUCAAAAUUUGGUGACUUCAAGCAGAAGCCUGAAGAGAAGCUUCUUCAAGCCUUUGAUCGCUUUAAUCAUUUCCUUAUUAAGAUGAUAAAGCAUGGGAUUGAAAGGAAUGUCAUUGAACAAAAGGUCACAUUCAUGAAUGGCCUUAGACCCGAAUGGAUGGUUGUGGUGUCUAUUGUGAAGGCACGUGAACAAUUCAAGGCUUAUUCUCUGGCAAAACUGGUGGGAAUAUUAAAGUCACAUGAGAGUGCAUUGACNGAAUAUUAAAUCACAUGAGAGUGCAUUGACUAAAGAAACGAACGUGGUUUCUAGCAUGGGGUCCUUGGCCCUAAUCUCCAAAGGGAAAGAAUGAUGCUAAAGAAGAAGAAAAUUUAGACCUUUCUGAAUAUGAUCUAACAAGUGAAGAUUAUGCUUUGAUGGUGUCAAAUCCCAAGAAGUUUAUCAAAAGAAGGUUCCCAGCUAAUAAGUGUUGGAUUAGUGUCUAAGUUCAUAACUAUUUUGGUAUGUACUUGACCCGAUGGUGCAUGGUCCUUUUGGGUUGCCUUUACCAAAACAACUUGAUAGGAUGAAUUAUGGAGAGAGAGGAAUAAUUAUGAUUUAUUAAUAUAUUAUGAGAAUAACAUAUUAAAGGAGAAAUCAUAUUGUUUAAUUAAUAUUAGUCAAGAAUUAAUAAGAAUUAAUUUUGUGGCUAAAAUGCAUUAAUUAAAUAAAGGGGACUAGAACUGUCAAUUGUGUGAUAGUUGAUUAUUAAGCUAAUGGACUCCAUAAAGGAUGGAGUGGACGAAUUCUAUGGGGAACCCCAUUAGAAAUCGUCCAAGGUCUCUAAGGAGGGAGUCCAUGGGUUUCUUAGGGCCUAAGCAGUCAAAUUAGGAUUUCCUUGUUAGAUAACCCUAAUAGCCUCACUAUUUAAGGACCCCUAGGGCACCAAAAACGUGGCCAACUAAUUCCUUAGGGUUUCUACAUGUUUUUGGCUGUCUCCUCUCUUCUCAUUCUUCAUCCUCUUGCUCUUGGUAUUUGUGAGCCAUUAGAGGAGUGACACUUGUGGGUCUAAACUUUCUAAAGCCAUUACAAGAAGGAUUUGAGAUUGUUAUUGCUACAUAACAAUCAAGGUAAGAUCUAAACCGCAAUCUUAUGUUAAUAUGAUUAAUUGUAUGCUAGAUCUAGGGUUUAUAGCUUUGGAUAUUCAAUUGCAUGUUCCUUAGACAAACUAGAUCCAAAAGCUAUUAGGGUUUGCAUGUACACCAUAGGAAUGAUGUUUUGCUCAUAACCCAUCAAUGGUAUCGGAGCCAUGGCUGUUUGUUUGAUGUAUUUGAUGCUAUUAUGAAUUAUCCUUGCUUAAAAUUCGAAUUUAGGGUUUCUGGGGGCUAAACUCGCUGAGUCCAUGCCUGACUCGACGAGUCAGCUGGUAAGAAAGAGGGAAAAUCGGGAUUUUGUGCUCUUUUGGCUGUGGGAUAGUUACCAAAACAUUUUUUAUUGAUAUAAAUCAGAUUUUUAUGAUACUGGGUGAUUAUCUUUGCCAAAAUUAAAGAUAAAUUCAUAUUAGUUAAAUAAUUAUUUUCUUAUAUGAUUAGAUUUAAUUAUUUGAAUUAUUUGGUGAAUUAUCUUGCAAGAAUUUGGACUAGGUCAAAUUAGAUAACCACCAAUUAAUUGUUCAUUGCCUUGUUUGAAUUUUGUGAUCUAGAAUAUUCUUGACAAAGUUUGGAAAAGUUUCAAAUUAAUCCCUUUAGGUUUUAUAGUUUAAAUUUGAACUUAAAAGUUUUGGUUUAGAAAUUUAAAUAAGUUCAACCCUAAUGUUUUGAAAUGUUUCAAAACUUGACCUCAAGUUUUGGAAUUUAAAAGUUGAUUAAAAGUUUAAUUUAGAAAUGUUAAAUUCUAAAACCCUAGUAUUGUUUUGAAAUGUUCAAAUCACUCCCUUAUGGAUUUAUUAAUUAAUUAAGUGUAUAAUUAAAAGAGAUUUAAUAAAUCCAUAAAGUUUUGGUUUAUAUUUAAUUAAAUUAUAUGUAUAAUUUAUUAAAUUAGACCACCUAGUAUUUUAAAAGUGUAAAAUACACCCUAUACUAUAUAUAACAUUAAAAGUCUAGUAUUAUAUAUGUAUGAGUAAACAGUCAGUCUUACCGUUAGUAGGCCUCAUUCACGAAGCUGGUCUAUAAGGGGUGUUUAAGGAAAUUGCCUAUAAAAUGGCGAUUGAAUGGGUAUCCACUCUUACCCACCGCACUCUUGACUAGUGGAGGGUCGUUAGCCGAACGGGUAGGAUAGGACGAAACCUUCCAUUAUAAGUAUAAUGAAGUAUAAAAGUAACUAAAUGUUUUCAUAAAAUUCCCAAUCUUAGUUACUUAGGCAAAAGUGAAUUGAUGCAAUUCCAUGAAAUUACACUUUGUGCCCUUGCGAAGACGUUAGUGGAGCGUGUGUGGUUUACCGGCACACUAAAUGGUUCUAAGCAAAGGUAGCAAAGGGUGACUCAAUGUUUGUCAUAGUUCGGUGGAGCGUGUGUGGUUUACCGGCACAUCGAAUAGGUGACUGUAACAUGUGAGGGCACCAUGUAAGUUUGCAUGGUUAUUCACACCCGCUUUGUGAUCCUCGGCAUCCCAGUCACAAACAAGAGGGGCAUAUCGAGAUUUAAACAUGCCAUUGAAAUGUUCAAUGAAUCUCAAAGGAUCUAGGAGUUUUCAUAGAUUUAAAACUUAAAUUUCUUUUUCGUUUUUCAUGGUGGAAAUUAGUGAAUCGUCAUUCACUUACCUUCAAAUGUUCUGCAAUUUGGGUUACGGCAUCCCUCUCCCAAGUUGUAGAGUAUUAUGUUGGGUCCUAGCCUUAAUAUCUCAUUUGGGUGAUUUAUUAAGGACUCAAUCAAUCAACUAACUUGAAUUUUUCUCCCUUAUUGUAGAUGUCAAAGUAUGACAACUAUGGUCUUCCCAAAUCCCGUGGAACAAGCAUUUCACAUGAAGAUGAUAUUCCACGAUUCGAUCGAGGAACACGAGAUCAUGCUUCACUUCCUCCACCUCCUCCUAUUGUUCUCCCUAACCCAUAAGUUCAAAAGAUUGAAAAGUUCAAACUCACUCAAGCCCUUUUGGCAAGUAAACAUAAAGAAGGAAAGUCAGUGUGUGCAUACGUCCUAGAGAUGAAGUUACACACUGAUAGGUUAACAAUGAUGGGAUCUGUUGUCUGUGAGGGGCUGGCUGUUGACUGGGUUCUUCAGUCACUUCCUGACUCAUAUAAUGAGUUCGUAAGAGAGUACUAUAUGAUGAACCACGACGUAACCCUCAUCAAUCUCACCUAUAUGCUUAUUGCUACUGAAUCAACAAUGAUUUGGCGCACUAGAAAAGCAAAGUUGAUUGGUGGAUCUGCCUUCCAAACCUCUAUGGAUAUAGGCAAUGGCAACAAAAGGCAUGCCAUGGAUCGAAAAGUUUGAUCAUAAGAGAAAGGUAAAGUCAUAAGUAGUUUCGUGUGUUGUUCCAAAAGAGUCAAUUUGCUUUUAUUGCCAAGAGAAGGGGCAUUAGAGAUGAAGCUGCCUUAUUUACCUAAGAGAUCCAAGAGAUGGGACAGUCAAAACGUAUGACUCUACUUUAGGUAAAAUCCACUAACUAAUUCUUUUACGUUCCUAUUCUAGAUUCUUAAUACAUGAUGUGAUAAGAUUACAUUUCGAUGUUUUGUAGGAUCGAAGAAAAGAGAGAAAGCUUAAUGGAAGAAGUGAGCGGAAUCUAAUCAUGAAGAAAUGGAUUUCGAUCGCAUUACUUGAAAAUUAGAAUCUUGAGCUACUACUUGGAGUUAGAAUAAGAUUGCUAAGAAAUAUGUAUUAACAUAGUUUUUCAAUUGAAUUGCAUUUUAAGGACAACUUUUUUCCGCAAUAAAAUAAAUUUUGAAUUUAUAUUAUUUAUUUAUCCUUGCAAUCGCGUGUAUGAAAAUUGAUGUUUGUAAGUAUCUAUUAUUAGCAAUAAUGGAUUUGAUUCUGAAUUAUGUUAUUUGUGGAAAGGUCAACAAUUUACCAAAUAGGGAAAGUUUCUCAUCGCACAUGUUUCAAUUGGACAGAAACUUGGAAUCAUACAACUUGGUUGCAUGAUGAAUGAGAAAUUUCAUAUUUGAAAAUUAGACUAAUUUGUUGACAAAGUGUCAUGUGAAGGUCUAAGAGAGCGAGUACACAAGGUUGUGUGUCCACCAUAAAAGUGACAAAGAUAUUCGUCAUGAUUUACGAAAGGUUUAGUAAAUAUGAUUAUACUUAUAAGAUUAAGUGUAAUUUCGAGUUGAUUGAAAGAGUUUAAAUCAAUAGAAGAACGAAUAAGAAGAAUCAAGUAGGUAGAAAGAUAAAAGUUUCUCUAUUCUAAGAAGAAGGGAGAGUAUUUUUUUUAUUAUGUUUUAUGAUAGGUCCUAAUGAUUAAGAACCAUAUCUCAAUUGAUCCUCUAAGUGAGUCUUAGUGAAAUUGUAUGUCUAAGAAGAGGAAUCAAGAAUUGAAGAAAUGGUUAAAUCAAGAAGUCAAUCAUACUUCGGUCCAAUAUCAAGUCUUAGAGUUAAGAUUGUAAAUUGAGUGACAAGUCUUAA
rnacentral:lncRNA from 1 species